UAAGUGAAAUAAGUGGCCGAGGGAUGGAGGAUGGGCUGGCCGGGGUGGGGGUCUCCAUCAUCUCCAGCAAAAUGCUGUGCUGAAGUCUGAGGCAGAGGGAUGGGCUCAGAGAGAGGGGCUGCCCGACCCCUUCCAUCUAGGAGCUGCCCAGGACUCCAGAGGAAGGGAUGGAAUUGAUUUAGGACAGUGAGGGUUUGAGUGGGGCUGGGAGGGGGUUGAGGUCAGGAGGCUGAAGGAGGAGACUUACUUCAACCUGGGAGGCAGAGGUUGCAGUGAGCAGAGAUCGCGCCACUGCACAAUCCUUUCUAUCUCCCUUCCUGGGCUGUGAGUUUCUCGGGGCAGGGAAAGAGAUCACUCAUCCAUCUGUCACGUUGUGAUGUAUACUAGUUGUCUGAUGUAUACUAGUACUCAGAAAAAUAUCCGAUGAAUGAAUAAAAUUCAUUCAUCAGACAUUUUCAUCAUAGCAUUGGCUAUUAACCCCUUCAAUCCCAGUGGCUCACUUGCUGGGUCCCAUCCCUGACCCAUUAGCCUGGUGCCCGGGGGAGACCAAUUUCUGGAGGAAGCUCUGGGUACCCAGUCUUGCCCUAAGCCUGCCUCUGAACAGGCUGUUCUUGUUUAUGACCCCCAUCCCAGCAGAACAGUGAUUGCUCAUCCCUGCAUGUGAUUUGAGAGGGCCAGUCUUUCAGGCCUGGAGGAAACUCAAGCCCCACCAGCCGCUUGGCAUCGGAAUGCUCAGCUGGUCCCCUCCUGGGGCUCAUGUGACCAAGAUCUAGCUAUAAAUAUCAGAGGGGCCUCAGACCAAGAGAGAAUUCGGGCACCAGGAGAAGGAAGCCAACAGGAUCCGACCUGGUGUUUCGUGACAAAGGCAAGACCCCCCAGGUCUACUUAGAGCGAAGUUAGUAGAGGAGGCAGCUAGGCGCGGCUCUCAUUCCUGCCCACGGAAUGGAUUAUAAGUCGAGCCUGAUCCAGGAUGGGAAUCCCAUGGAGAACUUGGAGAAGCAGCUGAUCUGCCCCAUCUGCCUGGAGAUGUUUACCAAGCCAGUGGUCAUCUUGCCAUGCCAGCACAACCUGUGCCGGAAGUGUGCCAAUGACAUCUUCCAGGCUGCAAAUCCCUACUGGACCAGCCGGGGCAGCUCAGUGUCCAUGUCUGGAGGCCGUUUCCGCUGCCCCACCUGCCGCCACGAGGUGAUCAUGGAUCGUCACGGAGUGUAUGGCCUGCAGAGGAACCUGCUGGUGGAGAACAUCAUCGACAUCUACAAACAGGAGUGCUCCAGUCGGCCGCUGCAGAAGGGCAGUCACCCCAUGUGCAAGGAGCACGAAGAUGAGAAAAUCAACAUCUACUGUCUCACGUGUGAGGUGCCCACC
rnacentral:sRNA from 1 species